rnacentral:rRNA from 1 species
AUUGAACGCUGGCGGCAGGCCUAACACAUGCAAGUCGAACGAGUGGCGGACGGGUGAGUAAUGUCUGGGAAACUGCCCGUGGGAUGGCGAUCACUACUGGAAACGGUAGCUACUACCGCACACCAUCGGAUGUGCCCAGAUGGGAUUAGGUAGUCGGUGGGGUAACGGCUGACCUAGGCGACGAUCCCUAGCUGGUCGAAGAGGAUGACCAGCCACACUGGAACUGAGACACGGUCCAGACUCCUACGGGAGGCAGCAGUGGGGAAUAUUGGACAAUGGGCGCAAGCCUGAUGCAGCCAUGCCGCGUGUAUGAAGAAGGCCUUCGGGUUGUAAAGUACUUUCAGCGAGGAGGCGUUACUCGCAGAAGAAGCACCGGCUAACUCCGUGCCAGCAGCCGCGGUAAUUC